GACAGAGGGGGCAAGCGUUGCUCGGAAUUACUGGGCGUAAAGGGCGCGUAGGCGGGAUGGCAAGUCGGUCGUGAAAUCCUUCGGCUCAACCGAAGAACGUCGAUCGAUACUGCUGUUCUUGAGGGUUGCAGAGGAGACUGGAAUUCCCGGUGUAGCGGUGAAAUGCGUAGAUAUCGUAAGGAAGACCAGUGGCGAAGGCGGGUCUCUGGACAGUUCCUGACGCUGAGGCACGAAGGUCAGGGGAGCAAACGGG
rnacentral:rRNA from 1 species